UACGGAGGGGGGCUAGCGUUGUUCGGAAUUACUGGGCGUAAAGCGUACGUAGGCGGCUUUGUAAGUUAGAGGUGAAAGCCCCGGGGCUCAACUCCGGAAUUGCCUUUAAGACUGCAUCGCUUGAAUCAUGGAGAGGUGAGUGGAAUUCCGAGUGUAGAGGUGAAAUUCGUAGAUAUUCGGAAGAACACCAGUGGCGAAGGCGGCUCACUGGUCCGGUACUGACGCUGAGGUGCGAAAAGCGUGGGGAGCAAACAGG
rnacentral:rRNA from 1 species